CUCUGACUUUCUCUGUCUCUGACCUCUAGAUCCAGAUGUGAAGGCCUGCUGUGAUGAGGUCAGGCUCGUCUGGGUAAUCUCCCUAUUUUAAGGUCAAUUGAUUUGGGAACUUAAUUACAUCUGAAAUGAGUGUUUGAAUAACUGGGCUUCACAGUGUUAGUGUCUGAGUAACCGGGAGAAGGUAUGUGUACAGCAGGGACUAAGAACCUUGGAAUCUUUUAGAAGUCUACCCACCACAGUGGGAAAUUCCUCAAACACAGGAAGGUGUACCAGUGGUUCAAAUGUUGGGAAAUCAAAAACUUUACAAAUGUCUACCACAGGAAGAAAGAGGACAAAUGAAGACAUAGGAAAACUAAAAGACUCUCUGUCAGCAGCAACUGCCACAGAUCCUGGCACCCGUCAGUGGAUGGACUCGUCAUAGUUUUUGGUUUUCUUCCAUCACAAGGAUUGUAACCAGGAUUGACCCCUUGAGCUGACCCCCGUCUUCCCUGCAGAUGUUUCACCACUCCUCCGUGAAGAAGAGGAAGAAGUCAAAAUCACAUGCGGAAAUUUCCCAGGUGCCACAGAUGAUGUGGCCAGAAGGAUGACCUCCUCUCGGGUCUCUGAAAAUCAAGGUAGUCAAGCCUUCUGCAGAGAAGCUCAGGACUGCCUGCUAUUAUCUCUCCUCCAAAAGAUAAUAAUUCCACAAACAGUUGUUGCACACCUACAAAAUACUGACUCUGCACCAAACACUGGGGAAUAUAAAGAUGAUUAAGAUACAGUUCUUGUCCUCAGGAGGCUGCUGGCUAGUGGGGGGACACAGGUGAUGAACACAACAACAGCGGCACUAGACACAGUGGCCAGCAGAGAAGGGAGUGGGGAACUUGAGGGUGGGCUGGGUCCUCCUUGAAGGGCAAGACGGGCUAUGAUAAUAGUAUUUAUUGAGCAUUUACUGUGUUCCAGGCACCGUUCUAAGUAUACAUGUAUUAACCAAUUAAAAACAUGCAUGAGGAGGCCAGCCCAGUGGCGUAGUGGGUAAGUUUGCGUGCUCCUCUUCGGUGGUCUGGGGUUCAUGGUUUCGGAUCCCAGGUGCAGACCUACAAACCAAUCACCAAGCCAUACUUGGGUUGCGCCCCACAUACAAAAAAUAGGGGAAGCUUGGCACAGAUGUAAGCUUAGUGACAAUUUUCCUCAAGCAAAAAGAGGAAGAUUGGCAACAGAUGUUAUCUCAGGGCCCAUCUUCCUCACCAAAAAAAAAAGAAAAGGAAGAUAGAAAGAAAGAAAAAAAGAAAAAAAAAAUUCCCCCCAACCGCCCAAAAUGCAUGAGACAAGUACUAGUAUUAUCCCCAGAUGAGUAAACUGAGAAUGUAAGUAAUUUGCUUAAGGUCACACAGCUAAGUCUGGAUUCAACACCUCAGUGCAUAGUCUUAAUGACUGCACAGUGCUGCAGGAAAGCAUUUCCAGGAAGCUGCUCCAGGGCUAAGAAUAUAAAAAAUAGGCAUGGAUUAGUAAUCUUUAACAUGUUUUGUAGGUGCUCUGGUAGAGUGUGGACUAGAGUCCCAGAUGUGAGACUAGAAUCUAGGAUUUCCCAAGAGGAAGUAUCCAGCGAUAGAGUCCCCAUAAGCAAAAUAUCCAGAAAGUUCCUAUUUCAGGUAACUGUGCUUCUAGAACCCUGUUUAGAAAUCCCUGUUCCCCUAAAGAUGGUGACUAGGGUUCAGGCAAGCUACCAGAGAUUUACACAUUAAAAUGCAAAUGAGGCUGGAUUCUAAGAGUUUAAAGAGCCAUGAUUUUAGUCCACCAGGCUUCCCAGAGCCAGAUCAUUGUCUUUAUCUUGCAAAUAGAGAGAUUUGAGAGUUUGAGAGCAGAAGAGCCCCAAACAGGACUUGGCAUGCUAGGGCUGGCCUGAGGCAGAGCUGGGAAGAAGCCAUUUUGCAGAAGGAAAAAUACCUAGAAAGGAUGAGCGUAUAUCUAAUCCAGAAUGAGCUUUCUGACAAUGGAAAGAUUUGGUAGGCUCAGGCAAGAGGAGUCUUGAUAAGGGCAAGCAGAAAUGAUUGAGAAAAAAUGGGAUUCCAGCAUGUAGGUGGCGAGGAAUGUGUCUUGGCAGCCUUCGAUUUCAACAGGGAGACCUGGGCUGGGAUGGGAAAGGGCCUUCUCCUCCAGGACCAAGGUGGAGCUAAAGGAACGACCUCAGCUUUGGCCAGGGGUGUAGAAGUCAGCUGUGCUGACCAGUGGGACAGUAGCCUUGUAGGUCGGGACUCCUGUGGGGCAUGUGGCCUGGCAGAAGGGAGGAAGACAGAGAGGGCUUGAAUGGACCUGUUUGAAUGCUUUAAGCUGAAGCCAGACUACUGAGUAAUGUGCCACAGCCCUCAACUCUCC
rnacentral:lncRNA from 1 species